GACCAGACUCCUACGGGAGGCAGCAGUGGGGAAUAUUGGGCAAUGGGCGCAAGCCUGACCCAGCAACGCCGCGUGAAGGAAGAAGGCUUUCGGGUUGUAAACUUCUUUUAAGAGGGACGAAACAAAUGACGGUACCUCUUGAAUAAGCCACGGCUAACUACGUGCCAGCAGCCGCGGUAAUACGUAGGGGGCAAGCGUUAUCCGGAUUUACUGGGUGUAAAGGGAGCGUAGACGGCGAAGAAAGUCUGAAGUGAAAGCCCGCGGCUCAACCGCGGAAUGGCUUUGGAAACUUUUUUGCUGGAGUACCGGAGAGGUAAGCGGAAUUCCUAGUGUAGCGGUGAAGUGCGUAGAUAUUAGGAGGAACACCAGUGGCGAAGGCGGCUUACUGGACGGUAACUGACGUUGAGGCUCGAAAGCGUGGGGAGCAAACAGGAUUAGAUACCCCCGUACG
rnacentral:rRNA from 1 species